UUCUUUUUGUUUUAAUAUAUAAUUUUUAUUAGUUUUCAAUUAUACAAACAUUUGAUGACAUACACAAAACUUUAAGCCAGCAAUAAUUUAUCCAUUGACAUUAUUUUAAUUAAUGUUAGAGACAAGUAGGACAUCACAGAACAUAAACAGAAAAAAGAAAAAACAGAUCUAAGUUCCCUAUGGAUAGGAGGAGGCGGAAAAGAAGGUUGACCCAGUCAUGUUCAAAGAUGAAAACCACAAGAUGAAAUGUUUACCGCUUAACAUUAUGGGAGGGUUCCUCUAACUUGUAAUUUCUCAACCUGUUCCAACCACUUUUAUACAGAUCAUGUGAUGUUCUACAAAUGCCCAUCUCCAUUGAGAUUUGGUAAAGAAUUAGAACUUUGACCUGUUGCCAACAAGGGGCUAUGACCAUCUUCCAGCAAUCAACAUCUUGGCAGCUGCCAAGGUGUGCAUCACAAUAGUUGAAGCGGUACCAAAUUUGUUUUGUAUGUUUAAUUGUAAUAGCAGAAGUCUGGGGUGGAAAUCAAUAGUUUUUGAAAGUAGAGUUUUAAUUUUCCAAAAUAGUUUGAUAGGUUACCAUUUCCACCAUAUAUGCAGGAAAUAUCCUCUGUGAACUAAUCAUCUCCAACAUCUAUCUGAGGCGUUGGGGUAAAUCCUAGACAACCUACAUGGGACCAGGUACCAUAUGUUUUAAAGUUUAUAAUGGAUCUCUGACAGAUUUAAGCAAUUAAUAUUUUAAUUGACAAUUUUUUGUUAUUCUGUCCAUUCCUCACAGCUAGUAUAUUUUUUUUGUUCUUGCUGCCAUUUUUUUUAAUCACAGGUAGAAUACGGUUUGUCAGGGUCUCCCUUCAUCAAAUCCAUACAGCCUGCCACUCGUUUACUCUUUUUCAUACUCAUUUUUUCGAAUUUAAUAUGUUUGACAGGUCUAUCCAUAGUUACAUGUUCUUGAAGAUAACCUUUUAUUCUAAUAUAAUUAAAAAUGUCUUUAUUAUAUAGACAAAAAUCAGAAUUUAACAAAGCGAAGUCCUUAACCCUGUUAUAUUGCAGCAGUAGAUUUCCAAUUUUAGGAAGGCCAGACUAAGCCAAUUAGAGAGAUUUAGAUCAGCAACAUUGUACAUCAGUUGAGUUAAAGGAAGACCUAAAAAUGUUUAACUUGGAGGUGACUGGCCCGCUGAGUUUUUCCAAUGUGUUCAAAAACUAUACUUUUUGAAGAGAUCUCUAUACAAUAUUUUCAUUUUUGUCCGCCAAAAUAUUGAUCCCAACUCUUUAAUAGUAUCACUAGAUUUUGUCAAGCACAUUUCAAUUUCAUACCAGAUUUCCUCUUUGACAUUCUCAAAUUGAGUAUAAAUAAUAUGUGCUAACAUACAAGCUUUCCAGUAGUCUUUUAGCUGGGUUAAACCUAGACCUCGAGUGACUUUCAGUGAUAAGCGACUGACACGGAUACGGGGGUGUUUGCCUAGCCAUAUAAAUUUGUUGAAUAUAGAUUGAGUCAGAUUCAGCCAACUAUCUGGGCAGGACAUGGGGAUCAUACGGAAUAAAUAGAUCCAUUUUGGAAGAAUAUAACAUUUUAUGAUAUUUAUUCUCCCCCACCAUGAGAGUUCCCAAGAUUUCCAUUCUUUGAAUUUUUUACUAGUAUAUUUUAGUAAGGACAUAAAAUUAACCUCCAUUAGGUUAGAGGGAUCUCUCGUACUUUCAAUUCUUAAAUAUGUAAAAGAUGAAGAGGAGCAAUUCAGCCCAAAAUGAUCAUAUAAUAAUUUUCUCAUCUCAGGAGAUAAAUUAACCAUCAGAGCAGCAGAUUUACUUUUAUUCAAUUUAUACCCAGAGAGUAUCGAAAACUCAUUAAUGAUCGUCAUAAAUUUAUCCAUAGAAGAAAUUGGGUCACAAAGGGUCAAAACUACAUCGUCAGCGUACAGUGUGAUUUUUACACGGUUUAAACCGGAAAACCUUUGAUUUGAUUAUCUGCCCUAAUUGCCAUGGCCAAAGGUUCAAUUACCAUUAAAUAAAGUAUGGGGGAAAGUGGGCAUCCCUGCCUAGUUCCAUUCUGCAGCUGGAACCAUUCUGAUGAAAAGCCUGCACCCAUUACUCAUGCCAUAGGAAAAGAAUAUAAGGCCAUUAUAGAUUUGACUAUAUUUCCACAGAGACCAAAUACCUCAAGAACCUGACCGAGGAAAUCUGUCGAAAGCCUUCUCAGCAUCCAAAUACAGAGUCAGUAGGGAGACCCGGUCAUGGUGCGCAUUGUCCAGUAUGUCUAUAAUUCUUCUGACUAAAGGUUCUAGGUUGGAAAAUCUGACAUGACAUGUCACAUGCUUACCAAACAAUUGAGUUUGUAGGUAAUGCCAUUUUUCUUAAUAGCAAUAUUUUUUGUGUCAAACAUAGUGGGUUAAGUCAAAACCUUCCAAUUAGCAUUGACGUAAUCUGGAUUUUGCGUAUAAAGCGGCAGAAAGAUGGAUUGUUUAACCGAAGAGGUGCCUGAAACAUGUAUUUAGGUUACCCCACCCUCCAAUAAACAGUAAAAAGACAAGACUUACUUACUGCGCCUCCCUGGUUGAGAUCAUCAAGAUUGAAAAUGUAUGUAUGUAAUACAUCUCAAUAAAGAUCAUUCAGCAUCAUCAUGCAUAGCGUAAAGAUUGCAGAAAUGAAAUACAGAAGGGACUCCAGUAGUCGUCUGAGUGACGGCAACUAGAGGUGUUACUAUGGAACGAGGUAAACACUGCUUUUUCGACAUACACUUUCUAGUUCCA
rnacentral:lncRNA from 1 species